AAGCACAACCCACACAAGGCCAAGACCAGACUCAGCGACAUCAACUGGCCAUUUCGACGAUGAUUAUUCACGAAGUUCUCAAUCAAGAUAUCAAGCCAGAGCUGAACCAAAGCCACCGGCACCAGCUGAUUCAGUUGAUGAACAUCCUCCAGUAGCACACCGAACCAGAACUCCACUGUCAACCAAACGAAAAUCAGUGGCAACUAUAGAAGCUCGACAUGGUGAUACUUACAG